GUUGGGUUAAAAUCGGGCUCACGUCACGCAUUUUGAAUUUCAACGGUUGACCGGUGCCACUGCUGAGUGCGGACAGACACGAGAGACAUUCUUGGAGAUGUUGCAUUAAAAACCUUACAAAAUGGCCAGCAAGAUGAUUCAGCCUUCCUACAGUACCAAGAGGCAAAGCAAACAUUUAUUAAUUUGCAACCUGUCAGAAAACAAACAUAAUUCAGUAUUUGGAGGAGGAGGUAUGACGAAGACCCCAUGUUCUGCUAUGGGAUGAAUUUGACUAAUCACAAGCCUUUGUUAUCGUGGGGAGGCAUGGCCCUGGAGCAAGACCAGCAGUUGACAUGUGCUUUAAUAUUUUUUUUACAUUUUAUACAGAGUAUCCCAAGCCUUUCACUACUGUUAAGUAGUUUCUGUAACACACAAUACAUUUUGUACCAUGUGAUGUUUCCUGAACACACUGUCACCUGCUUAAAGGGACAGUUCCCCCAAAAAUGAAAAUUGUCAUAAUUUUCUUCCUCUCCUGUCGUUACAAACCUGUACACAUUUUUUUGUUCUGAUGACCACAAAGGAAGAUAUUUUGAGUAAUGUUUGAAACCAAACAGAUCAUGAGCCCCAUUGACUGUCAUAGUAGGAAAAAAGAAUACUAUGAAAAUGAAUGGGGCUCAUGAUCGGUUUUAUUUUUUAAACAUUCUUUGAAAUAUACCUUUGUGGUUAUCAAAGUAAAGACUUAUAUACAGGUUUAUAACAACAUGAGAGGGAGAAAAUGAUGACAAAAUGUGUGAACUAUGCUUUUAAGCAGUUUUUAGUUGGAUAAGAUUGAGUAGAUUUGUUUUGUUCUUAUGUUUUUGUUUAUUUAUGUAUGUAUAUAUGUAUGUAUGUGUGUAUGUAUUUAUGCUUCUAUACAUGUAUGUAUUUAUACAUUUAAAUGCAGGUGCAAAUGACUAAAUGAAAUUAAAGCAUUAUAAAUGUAUUUGUAAGUUUUGAAUUAUUUAUUUAUAAAGCAAAUAAUAGUAAUAAAUAAUAAUAAUAAUAAUAAUAAUGGGGUUAAAACAGCAUUGCAAAAAUAACCCAACAAAUUGGUUAUUUCAUAACCCAACUAAUUGGGUAAAACUUUCUACCCAAUGCAUUGGGUUAAAAUAACCCAACAAUGGGUCGGUGCUAUAGUAACCCACCAUUGGGUUAUUUAUUGGGUUAUUUUUAACCCAACUGUU